rnacentral:tRNA from 1 species
CGGGACGUGGCGCAGUCCGGUAGCGCACCUGAAUGGGGUUCAGGGGGUCGCCGGUUCAAAUCCGGCCGUCCCGA